ACAGACCAGAGUGGGUACCAACCCCGUACAGUGAGCCGCCCUCCGCGGGCUGAGCGCUGGGCGGGGAGUCCGGUCAGCGCCCGGUGUCUGCCCGAGGAUGGUGGUCCUGAUGCUGAGGCUCCCUUUUCAAUGCUAGAAUGGUGUGUCCUCGAACAAGUAGAAAGAAAAGAAUUAUCCUGAGUACUGCACUAAAACUCUCUUGGUGGUAAUUACGGAAAGGAAAGCCAUCAAUCAGCAGACAAUAGUUAUGCUGCAUGUGGGAGACUUCUAAGAAUGUGCACAAAAAAACGAAAAGACACAGAAACUUAUACAAAGAGAAAAUCAACAAAACUACAGGAGAGAACCAAAGCUCUUAUGAAUGCAUUCAACAGCUAAAUUGGAGAUCUGAAUACAAAUCAGUCAGUAUUUGUGCUCAACAGAAGAUACUAUUACCCAGACAAUAAUGAAAGCAGAAGGGAAAGAUAAGUUAUCAUUGUGCCGUAAAGAUUGGAGAGGCGAACAAUUCCAGUAAAACCCACACUGUUACCAGUAGCAACAAGUAGCAGCU